CUGGUCUUGACAUCCACAGAAUUUUUUAGAAAUAAAAAAGUGCCUUCGGGAACUGUGAGACAGGUGCUGCAUGGCUGUCGUCAGCUCGUGUUGUGAAAUGUUGGGUUAAGUCCCGCAACGAGCGCAACCCUUAUCCCCUUACGAGUAGGGCUACACACGUGCUACAAUGGCGUAUACAAAGGGAUGCGAACCUGCGAGGGAAAGCGGAACUCAGAAAGUACGUCGUAGUCCGGAUUGGAGUCUGCAACUCGACUCCAUGAAGUCGGAAUCGCUAGUAAUCGUAGAUCAGAAUGCUACGGUGAAUACGUUCCC
rnacentral:rRNA from 1 species